rnacentral:rRNA from 1 species
UACAGAGGGUGCAAGCGUUGUUCGGAAUUACUGGGCGUAAAGAGCGCGCAGGCGGUCGUUCAAGUCGAGUGUGAAAGCCCCCGGCUCAACUGGGGAGGGUCACUCGAUACUGAUCGACUCGAAGGCAGGAGAGGGAAGCGGAAUUCCCGGUGUAGUGGUGAAAUGCGUAGAUAUCGGGAGGAACACCAGUGGCGAAGGCGGCUUUCUGGCCUGUUCUUGACGCUGAGGCGCGAAAGCUAGGGUAGCAAACGGG